GACGAACGCUGGCGGCGUGCUUAACACAUGCAAGUGGAGCGACGAACCGGGCUUCGGCCCGGGGCAAAGCCGCGAACGGGUGAGUAUCACGUGGGUAACCUGCCCCGAUGACCGGGAUAACCCGAGGAAACUCGAGCUAAUACCGGAUGUGCUCCCAAUCCAUCAGGGUUGGAAGUAAAGGAGUCUUCGGCCUCCGCAUUGGGAUGGGCCCGCGGCCCAUUAGCUUGUUGGUGAGGUAACGGCUCACCAAGGCCACGAUGGGUAGCUGGUCGGAGAGGACGAUCAGCCACACUGGGACUGAGACACGGCCCAGACUCCUACGGGAGGCAGCAGUGGGGAAUCUUGCGCAAUGCGCGAAAGCAUGACGCAGCAACGCCGCGUGAGGGAAGAAGGCCUUCGGGUUGUAAACCUCUUUCGGGAGGGACGAAGGUUCAGGCGCGAAUAGCGUCCUGGACUGACGGUACCUCCAGAAGAAGCCCCGGCUAACUACGUGCCAGCCGCCGCCGUAAUAC
rnacentral:rRNA from 1 species